UACCCGGUAGCACAUGGUGUGUGCAUCUGCCCAAAGUGCGCUUUGCUGCAUGCUUCGCAGGCAGAAAGCCCCCGUUCGACUCGGGGCCGGGUGA